GGGUGGGGUACUGGGGAUUAAACUCAGGGGCACUCAGCCAAUGAGCCACAUCCCUAGCCCUAUUUUGUAUUUUAUUUAGAGACAAAGUCUCACUGAGUUGCUUAGUGCCUUGCUUUUGCUGAGGCUGGCUUUGAACUCCUUGUCCUCCUGCCUCAGCCUCCUGAGCUGCUGGGAUUAUAGGAAUGUACCACUGUGCUCAGCUUAAUGUUUUAUUUUUUAAAGUUUAAAUGACUUUUUUUCAUGCUAAUAUUGAAAUUGUAUUUCAACGGCACAAGAUUGGUAAGAUUUAGAGAUUUCUUAAUUGAAUAUUACAUAGAAAUUAUAAGCUAAAUAGAGAAUAUGCAUUUCAAAUGCAGAUUUGAAUUUGCAAUUUGCAGAUCCAAAAUUUUACCUACCAGUUUAAAACAUAUAGCUUAUAGACAUGAUAUAAAUGUGCUCUUAAGGCCAUAUGAGAAUACUGAAGGAUGCUUUUUUAGCAUUAAGCAAUUAUACAACUUAUAUGAAUUAUAACUUUUGAGUCACAACAAAUUAAGCUACUUUAAGCAAAGAAGACAAACGUGUCUUAAAUACACUGAAAUGUCUCUUGGAUCUGUAGAGCAGGAAUGGAAUCAUUUACAAGAAGGGACUAUAACCAGACAGUCUUGAGGAAUCCAUGAGACACAGUCUUUUCUUACUCCGAACACUUCUUAUUCUCACAUUUCAUUCCUUCUUGUUUUAUAGUUUGGCUUUCUCGGCUUUGAUUCCACAAUAGAAUAAGACCUCUCUGUAGCAUAUUUGUAAUAUUAAAUUGACCAUCACAUAUAUACAUUAACUGGCUAGGGCUGAGAGAGAAAUUUGGGAAUACAGAAAAAGAAAGAUAGUAAACUGAGUCUCAAUAGAGAAGUUCCCAUGAAACUUGAAAUGCAAAACAAACAACUUGUAAGCAAUGCAGCCCACAUCCUUAUCCCACAUCUCAGCCCAGAUCCUUGGCUUUCAUCUUUGCCUUCAAAAAAGUAAAACAAUGCAGGAAAUAGAAAAGAAAGGUAAGUGGGAAAGUGCCAUUGAUAUGGAUUCUAGAAUUAUAGUCACAAAUUUUAAGACAUUACUCCAUGAUUAAACAGAAGAAGAGGUCUUUGGAGAUUAAAAACUAUUCCGCAGGCAACAGUGUGUUUGGUUUAUUUAUUUAUUUAUUUUAACACAUGUUUUAUUCAGCUUUUUUGCUGCUGCAACUAAAAGACCCAACCAGAAUGACUAUAAAGGAGGAAAAAUUUGAAGGCUCAUAGUUUCAGAGGUCCAUAGAAGACUGGCUUAAUUCCUCAGGGCUUGAAGUGAAGCAGAACGUCAUAGCAGAUGAGUGUGGUACAUGGAAGUAGCUCACAUGUGAUCAGAAAGCAGAGAGCUCUCCACUUGCCACAUACAAAUAUAUGCCCCAAAGCCACACCCCUAAUCCCCACCUCCUCCGGCCACAUUCUACCAUUUCAGUUAC
rnacentral:lncRNA from 1 species